rnacentral:rRNA from 1 species
UGGGGAAUAUUGCGCAAUGGGCGAAAGCCUGACGCAGCGACGCCGCGUGGAGGAUGAAGGUCUUAGGAUUGUAAACUCCUGUCAGAUGGAAAGAAAAGCUUACUAUCAAAUAAAUAGUAGGUAUGACGGUACCAUCAGAGGAAGCACCGGCUAACUUCGUGCCAGCAGCCGCGGUAAUACGAAGGGUGCGAGCGUUAUUCGAAAUUACUGGGCGUAAAGGGUGCGUAGGCGGUAUGUUAAGUUUGUUGUUAAAGACUCCGGCCUAACCGGAGAGCUGCAAUGAAAACUGGCGUGCUAGAGGAUGAGAGAGAGAAGUGGAAUUCCCGGAGUAGCGGUAAAAUGCGUGGAUCUCGGGAGGAACACCAAUGGCGAAAGCAGCUUCUUGGCUCAUUUCUGACGUUGAGGCACGAAAGCGUGGGGAGCAAACAGGAUUAGAUACCCGUGUAGUCC